rnacentral:lncRNA from 1 species
GAGCUCCUUUUGUCUUCUCUUCCCAUCCCCCAGGUUUGGGAAAGUUUUCCUUUUGGGAAAGCCCCUCUCUUCAGCCUGCUGGCGGGUGUCGGAUUGGUUAGCGACCACCGGCCCCCGCCUCCCCCAACAGGAUUCUCCUUUGGGCCACAGGUCUUCCGGAAGUUGCCAAACCCCGGUAGCGGCAGCGUCCGGCUGGGGGCUUUAUUAGGGGGCACCGGGGUCUGCUUUCCGACUCCCUUCCGACUCCGCGCCUGCGCAGGAAGCGAUUUGGGGAGUGUUGUGAAUUCCGAGGGCUCCACACUUAAGAGGUUGUACACUCACCUGUCUACCUGGACUCCAAUUUCCAUAUUUCCAGCCACUUGAGGACUGAGAGGUGGAUGAUAAACCCUGUCAUAGUGGAGCAAGUUCAGGUGUUUAACCGCUGUUAUGGGGGAUCUGCCUUUUCUCCCUCUUCUUUCUUACUUCCAUAAGUAUGUAUGUGCAGAGAUUGAAAAAUAACCUUGAGAGAGUCCAUCCAUCUAACUCCAGGCAGAAUAGUUGCCUACUGCCCCAACCCCACCAAAUGUUCCAGCACCUCUGAUAUUACCUCACAUGGCAAGAGGGCUUUGAAGAUGUGAUUGAGUCAAGGAUCUUGAAUGGGGAGAUUAUCCUGAAUUAUUCAGCUGGACCCAGUGUAAUCACAAAGGUUUUUCAAAGAUGGAAGAGAGGCAGAAGAGCCAGAAAAGGAUAUGUGACAAUGGAGUCAGUGUCAGAGUUGGAGUGACGUGAUGUGAGAAGGAUUCAACCUGCUGUUUCUGGCUUUGAGGAUGAAAGAAGGGGCCAUGAGCCAAGCAAUACAGGUGGCUUCUUUCAAGAAGUUGGAAAAGUGGUAAUAUUUUAUGUUAUUUUGGUUUGAUUUUUGUUUGUGGCAUAUGGCUCUGCUGUCCUGUGACUCUAAGUAGAAGAGAAAAUAGUGCCAAUAAUUCUUCAUGGAGAUGCACCUCUCUCAAGUCUUGAACAAUGUUUGAGGAAAAGUGCUUUCAGCUGGGCUGAUGAGAACACCUUGGCACUCUUUCCUGCAAUGGGCACUGAUUGAGGGUCUUCCUGGUGUGGCAUCAUCAAAUCCCUGUUGCUCAAACCCACUAAUUAGCUCAUUCUUAUCUACAAGUAGCAGGGGCCCUAAAGCUCUCUGAGAAGAUCUCAUACUGUGUCUCCUACAUUUCAUCUUCUAUAAUCUCUUAUUCUUAGAGACAGAAAGAUGGUUAAAAGACAUCACUUCAUUUCUUUCUCUGGAUUUGGAAAGAGUUAUAUAUUGGGAUUAUGCUGUUAGUUUACACUUGCAUUGUUUAAAUUAGAGGAAAGGUUAUUUUGUGCAGAACAAAUAAAAAUUACUCUUUAACUACCUUUCAGAAUAUCCCAACUUUUAACAUAAGCUGUUUUGUAAAGGCUGGUUGUAGUGACUU